AUUGAACGCUGGCGGCAUGCCUUACACAUGCAAGUCGAACGGCAGCACGGGAGCAAUCCUGGUGGCGAGUGGCGAACGGGUGAGUAAUAUAUCGGAACGUGCCCAGUCGUGGGGGAUAACUGCUCGAAAGAGCAGCUAAUACCGCAUACGACCUGAGGGUGAAAGGGGGGGAUCGCAAGACCUCUUGCUAUUGGAGCGGCCGAUACCAGAUUAGCUAGUUGGUGGGGUAAAGGCCUACCAAGGCAACGAUCUGUAGUUGGUCUGAGAGGACGACCAGCCACACUGGGACUGAGACACGGCCCAGACUCCUACGGGAGGCAGCAGUGGGGAAUUUUGUACAAUGGGCGCAAGCCUGAUCCAGCAAUGCCGCGUGCAGGAAGAAGGCCUUCGGGUUGUAAACUGCUUUUGUCAGGGAAGAAAUCCUCUAGGUUAAUACCCUUGGGGGGAUGACGGUACCUGAAGAAUAAGCACCGGCUAACUACGUGCCAGCAGCCGCCGUAAUAC
rnacentral:rRNA from 1 species